AGGAUGAACGCUGGCGGCGUGCUUAACACAUGCAAGUCGAACGGUGAAAGAGGAGCUUGCUCCUCUGGAUCAGUGGCGAACGGGUGAGUAACACGUGAGUAGCCUGCCCCAGACUCUGGGAUAAGCACUGGAAACGGUGUCUAAUACCGGAUACGAGCUUCAGCCGCGUGGCUAGGAGCUGGAAAGAAUUUCGGUCUGGGAUGGACUCGCGGCCUAUCAGCUAGUUGGUGAGGUAACGGCCCACCAAGGCGACGACGGGUAGCCGGCCUGAGAGGGUGACCGGCCACACUGGGACUGAGACACGGCCCAGACUCCUACGGGAGGCAGCAGUGGGGAAUAUUGCACAAUGGGCGCAAGCCUGAUGCAGCAACGCCGCGUGAGGACGACGGCCUUCGGUUGUAACCGUCUUUUAGUAAGGUAAGAAGCGAAAGUGACGGUACCGUGACAAGAAAAAGACACCGGACUAACUACGU
rnacentral:rRNA from 1 species